UGGGGAAUUUUGGACAAUGGGCGAAAGCCUGAUCCAGCAAUGCCGCGUGUGUGAAGAAGGCCUUCGGGUUGUAAAGCACUUUUGUCCGGAAAGAAAUCCUUGGCUCUAAUACAGUCGGGGGAUGACGGUACCGGAAGAAUAAGCACCGGCUAACUACGUGCCAGCAGCCGCGGUAAUACGUAGGGUGCAAGCGUUAAUCGGAAUUACUGGGCGUAAAGCGUGCGCAGGCGGUUUGCUAAGACCGAUGUGAAAUCCCCGGGCUCAACCUGGGAACUGCAUUGGUGACUGGCAGGCUAGAGUAUGGCAGAGGGGGGUAGAAUUCCACGUGUAGCAGUGAAAUGCGUAGAGAUGUGGAGGAAUACCGAUGGCGAAGGCAGCCCCCUGGGCCAAUACUGACGCUCAUGCACGAAAGCGUGGGGAGCAAACAGGAUUAGAUACCCUGGGUAGUCCACGCCCUAAACGAUGUCAACUAGUUGUUGGGGAUUCAUUUCCUUAGUAACGUAGCUAACGCGUGAAGUUGACCGCCUGGGGGAGUACGGUCGCAAGAUUAAAACUCAAAUGAAUUGACGGGGUCAUAGCUGUUUCCU
rnacentral:rRNA from 1 species